rnacentral:tRNA from 2 species
GCGUUGGUGGUUUAGUGGUAAAAUUCAUCGUUGCCAAAAGAAGCUGAGUCUUCACAGAGUGAUCCGUUGAAAGGUCUCUCGAAGAGAACUCGACAUCGUGUAUCGAUGAGCCCCGGGUUCGAUUCCCGGCCGACGCA